rnacentral:rRNA from 1 species
CCCUUAGAUGUUCUGGGCCGCACGCGCGCUACACUGAUGAACGCAACGAGACCACCUGUACCGAAAGGCAUGGGUAAACUUGUGAAAGUUCAUCGUGAUGGGGAUAGAUUAUUGCAAUUAUUAAUCUUCAACGAGGAAUUCCUAGUAAGCGCGAGUCAUCAGCUCGCGUUGAUUACGUCCCUGCCCUUUGUACACACCGCCCGUCGCUCCUACCGAUUGAAUGGUCCGGUGAAAUCUUCGGAUUGCUGGAUAGGGCUUCAUUGACCUAUCUGCGAGAAGUUGCUUGAACCUUAUCAUUUAGAGGAAGGAGAAGUCGUAACA